UAGCAAGCCUCCAGCAAGCUUACGUUUGCUGUGACCAUGUGCAUUUCUACAGUGCUUGCCAGAAUAGUUUUAUUGUCAGAA
ensembl:snoRNA